rnacentral:rRNA from 1 species
CCUACGGGAGGCUGCAGUGAGGAAUAUUGGUCAAUGGGCGCAAGCCUGAACCAGCCAAGUCGCGUGAGGGAUGACGGUCCUAUGGAUUGUAAACCUCUUUUGUCGGGGAGCAAGGCCCGCCACGUGUGGCGGGAAGGAGAGUACCCGAAGAAAAAGCAUCGGCUAACUCCGUGCCAGCAGCCGCGGUAAUACGGAGGAUGCGAGCGUUAUCCGGAUUUAUUGGGUUUAAAGGGUGCGUAGGCGGAAGGUUAAGUCAGUGGUCAAAUGUCGGUGCUCAACAACGGCCUGGCCGUUGAAACUGGUCUUCUUGAGUGAGCGAGAAGUAUGCGGAAUGCGUGGUGUAGCGGUGAAAUGCAUAGAUAUCACGCAGAACCCCGAUUGCGAAGGCAGCGUACCGGCCGGUCACUGACGCUGAGGCACGAAAGCGCGGGUAUCGAACAGGAUUAGAUACCCUAGUAGUC